GUGGGGAAUAUUGGACAAUGGGCGAAAGCCUGAUCCAGCCAUGCCGCGUGUGUGAAGAAGGCCUUCGGGUUGUAAAGCACUUUUGGCAGGAAAGAAAUAGUGCGUGCUAAUACCAUGCGCGAAUGAUGGUACCUGCAGAAUAAGCACCGGCUAACUACGUGCCAGCAGCCGCGGUAAGACGUAGGGUGCAAGCGUUAAUCGGAAUUACUGGGCGUAAAGCGUGCGCAGGCGGCUUUGUAAGACGGAUGUGAAAGCCCCGGGCUCAACCUGGGAAGUGCAUUCGUGACUGCAAGGCUAGAGUGUGUCAGAGGGAGGUGGAAUUCCGCGUGUAGCAGUGAAAUGCGUAGAGAUGCGGAGGAACACCGAUGGCGAAGGCAGCCUCCUGGGAUAACACUGACGCUCAGGCACGAAAGCGUGGGGAGCAAACAGGAUUAGAAACCCUGGUAGUCC
rnacentral:rRNA from 1 species